UACGGGAGGCAGCAGUGGGGGAAUAUUGCACAAUGGGCGAAAGCCUGAUGCAGCUAUGCCGCGUGUAUGAAGAAGGCCUUAGGGUUGUAAAGUACUUUCAUCGGGGAGGAAAAACAAAAACUAAUAAUUUUAUUUCUUGACGUUACCCGAAAAAGAAGCACCGGCUAACUCCGUGCCAGCAGCCGCGGUAAUACGGAGGGUGCUAGCGUUAAUCAGAAUUACUGGGCGUAAAGAGCACGUAGGUGGUUUUUUUAAGUCAGAUGUGAAAUCCCUGGGCUUAACCUAGGAACUGCAUUUUGAAACUGAAAUACUAGAGUAUCGUAGAGGGAGGUAGAAUUCUAGGUGUAGCGGUGAAAUGCGUAGAUAUCUGGAGGAAUACCUGUGGCGAAAGCGGCCUCUAAACGAAUACUGACACUGAGGUGCGAAAGCGUGGGGAGCAAACAGGGAUUAGAUACC
rnacentral:rRNA from 1 species